rnacentral:rRNA from 1 species
UACGUAGGGUGCGAGCGUUGUCCGGAAUUAUUGGGCGUAAAGAGCUCGUAGGUGGUUUGGUUAGUCGGAUGUGAAAUCUCCAGGCUCAACCUGGAGGGGUCAUUCGAUACUGCCAUGACUAGAGGUCGGUAGGGGAGUGUGGAAUUCCUGGUGGAGCGGUGAAAUGUGCAGAUAUCAGGAGGAACACCCGUAGCGAAGGCGGCACUCUGGGCCGAUACUGACACUGAGGAGCGAAAGCGUGGGGAGCGAACAGG